GUCAGCGUGGCAUAGUGGUUUGAGUGUUGGACUAUGACUCUGGAGGCCAGGGUUCAAUUCCCCACUUGGGCA
rnacentral:tRNA from 1 species